rnacentral:rRNA from 1 species
CCUACGGGUGGCAGCAGUGGGGAAUAUUGGACAAUGGGCGAAAGCCUGAUCCAGCCAUGCCGCGUGUGUGAAGAAGGCCUUCGGGUUGUAAAGCACUUUCAGUGGGGAAGAAAGCCUUGGGGCUAAUACCCUCGAGGAAGGACAUCACCCACAGAAGAAGCACCGGCUAACUCCGUGCCAGCAGCCGCGGUAAUACGGAGGGUGCGAGCGUUAAUCGGAAUUACUGGGCGUAAAGCGCGCGUAGGCGGUCUGAUAAGCCGGUUGUGAAAGCCCCGGGCUCAACCUGGGAACGGCAUCCGGAACUGUCAGGCUAGAGUGCAGGAGAGGAAGGUAGAAUUCCCGGUGUAGCGGUGAAAUGCGUAGAGAUCGGGAGGAAUACCAGUGGCGAAGGCGGCCUUCUGGACAAAGACUGACGCUGAGGUGCGAAAGCGUGGGUAGCAAACAGGAUUAGAUACCCGUGUAGUC